AGUCCCAAACUGACGGUGUGGGACUCCACAGUCUCCAACACAGAGGUGCGGGCUCUCAGCUCUCUUGAGCCGCUUUUUAUGGACUGGAAAGAUGUUUGUUUGCUUCAGUUCGGGAAAAGUCACUCAGCCACUACAGUUUCUUUGGAGAAAUCAUUUGAAGCCCCGAGCCUGAGAAACAGCAGCUGCACUAAUUGAACACAGAUGAACAGGGGACUGUCCUGCUGAGGCCAUUGGCUAGGUACACUGCACUGAGCUAUAAACACGGAAAUGAUCUGGACCUCCUGCUAGUGUCUGGGCCUUGGUUCAUUUUAGGAUGUUUUGCCCUCUUGUCUGAUCCCAAUACCAAGGAGCUGGACAAAGUCACCCACAGUAAAUGCCGCGGCCUGUGCAUAUUAACGCUGCCAAGAAUCUUUACCUUUUAAACGAAAGUUUCCUGAACACAGAUGUCUUCAUAAAUACCACCCAUAUAGUCUGAGUGGCAGAGACUGCAGGGCGGUGACGGUGGCUUCCCUGGAACCCUUUGGAAUAUGCCUUGUGGGUGUCUGCCCACUACACUGAGGAGAGGUGAGCCCCGGAAUGACUGCACAAAGGGGGACAUGGGCAUCACCGGUGCCUUCUAAAAUGCAGAACUUACUUCUGGAAGGAGCUGUGUUUGUCUACAGGUGCUGGACCCCAUGUGCCCCUGUCAUCACGUCAGGACUCACCACCGCCUGUUCUCCUCACAUUGCUAACGAGAAGUCAACAUCCAACACGGGUUUCCAAAGAAGAAAAGAAAAGAAGUUUAAGCUCAGAAUACUGAAUCAAUGUCUUUUUCUGGUUCCUGAUAAUGACAAAGAAUGACUUGCAUAGUAAAAAAAAUGCUAAUUUUAUUAAAAUGCUAUCAGUUGUGGCUUUUAAACUAA